AUUCUAAUUGUACUAGUCUGUUUAUCAUCAUGAACCUCCUCUGUUUGUCUGUCUAGAAACGGUGCUGUUACAGAUGCUGCUUGUGUUUAUCAUCAUGAACCUCUGUUGUCCGUCUAGAAACAGUGCUGUUACAGAUACUGCUUGUGUUUAUCAUCAUGAACCUCUGUUGUCCGUCUAGAAACAGUGCUGUUACAGAUACUGCUUGUGUUUAUCAUCAUGAACCUCUGUUGUCCGUCUAGAAACAGUGCUGUUACAGAUACUGCUUGUGUUUGUCAUCAUGUGACGGGAAGAUUAGAACAUGUACCUUUUCUUUAUGUUUAAUGUGAAAACAAGGUUCAUUUCAUUCUAAUUCUGAAGAUGAAUCAAAACAUUUAGGCAUUAAAGUAAAUACAUCGAAGCAAGGUGUUAGGUUGUAAACAGAUGACCUCAAAAGAAUGCAGAGAAAAGCUCAGAGUUUAUUCACCCCACUGAAUGCUGCAUUUAUAUGCCACAGCUUGCACAUAACCAAACAAUAAUUGAUAUGUCAAGACAAAGGUAGGGGUGUGACUUCUCAGAAAUGUCCUUCUGUUUCCCAGAACUGCCUGUCGGUCUGUUGUUGAGCGGCUGGUAUCACCCCUCCCCCAUUAUCCCCCAUGUUGUUCCACCUCCUUGUGGGAGGAGCCAGGCGAGGCCACAGAUCAGACUCCUCCAUCUCAUCCCACCAACUCUGUCAGUCCACCAGGCCACUGCAGUAACAGCCAUAUCUUCACAUCACGUAGCUUCAGUACCAUCUCAAUGUGUUGAAGCACCAUCCUGGAUCCUGUGGCAACGUCAAUAUGAAACAGCAUUGACCCGUGAUCACCACCAACCAGGGCUCCACAGCGGUGUCCUUUGAUGCCCAGGAUUUGCUCAAGAUCAACUAAAGGAGAUUUGGAUGGCCCCUUGUCAGUGGCCCUAGGAGUGAAGGGCCCGACAGGCAUACUGCAAAUCAUAAUAACUUCCCACCAUAAACGGACCAGGCAGCGUGGUGAGAAGCAGCAGUGCUUUCUGGAGGAAUGGACAUGGGAGGAGAUAUUGGAAGGUAAGGGACCCUGGGCUGGAGAACAUCGCCGUCCGAAGGAGGAACUGGAGGCGUCUAAAGCAGAGCGGCGACGCUACGAGGAGUUGGCACAGCGGACUAAGCACAAGAGGC